rnacentral:lncRNA from 1 species
AAGCAGAAGUAGAGAUGUAAUACUGCUGCAAAGAGAACGACUUCCCCCCAGGAGGUAUCUGGCAAAUGGACCUCUCUGACAUGACUUGCACACAGUUGCACCAAAGCUCCAGCUGCUCAACACAGGCUUGGAGGACAAUUGGUGGCAGCUGGUCGAUGCUGCUAUGAACCCUACCAGCACCCUGGAAGGCUCCUGGCAGUUCACGGGAGAAAUGGAUUGUUCCUACCUAAUUAUCUUGGAAAAUGGCAAAAAAAUAAGGAAGCAAAGAAAAUGGAGCUUGAAAAUUUUCAAAGAAGGGAAUGGUCUUUAUCCCUGAUUAUCUUCGUGUGUCCAUGGGUUUGGGAACCUGGAUCUCUCAAAACUGACAGGAGACCCUACGAUCAAAGGCAAUGCUACAUAUCAAUGAAUAUGGGAGCCUCAGAAAAGGAGGUGAGAUGAAGUGACUGUCAGCAGAUGAAAACAGAAAGGAACUCAGAAGGGAGCUGAAGAUAGAAAAUACAAAAGACAAUGGCUUUGUCUGCAAGCCCGGAAAGAAAAGCAAACCUGGCUGAAGAGAAUGGGCCAAAACUUGCAGAGACCAAGAGUUAGAAAAGAUACUAAUAUGCAGCUUUCUCUACCAUUUUCUGUGUGUGAAAUGUAUUUGAGUGAAU